CUCCCAAACCCAUGUGAACAUACCUAACGUUGCCUCGGCAGGUCGCACCUACCUUGUAGCACCCUACCCUGUAGGGCCUACCCGGGAGGUGCGGGUAAGCCUGCCGGCGGCCCACCAAACUCUGUUUGAUAUUGAAUUCUGAACCUAUAACUAAAUAAGUUAAAACUUUCAACAACGGAUCUCUUGGUUCUGGCAUCGAUGAAGAACGCAGCGAAAUGCGAUAAGUAAUGUGAAUUGCAGAAUUCAGUGAAUCAUCGAAUCUUUGAACGCAUAUUGCGCCCAUUAGUAUUCUAGUGGGCAGGACCGUUCGAGCGUCAUUUCAACCCUUAAGCCUUCGUUGCUUAGUGUUGGGAGCCUACGGCAACGUAGCUCCUCAAAGUUAGUGGCGGAGUUGGUUCACACUCUAGACGUAGUAAUUUUUUAUCUCGCCUAUUAGUUGGACUAAUCCCCUGCCGUAAAACCCCCAAUUUAUCAAGGUUGACCUCGAAUCGGUUCAGACAAACUCGCUAAAUUGAAGCAUCUUAGUCAGCGAAGGAAAAGAAACCAACAGGGAUUGCCCUAGUAACGGCGAGUGAAGCGGCAACAGCUCAAAUUUGAAAUCUGGCCCUCGGGUCCGAGUUGUAAUUUGUAGAGGAUGCUUUUGGCGCGGUGCCUUCCGAGUUCCCUGGAACGGGACGCCUUAGAGGGUGAGAGCCCCGUACGGUUGGACACCAAGCCUCUGUAAAGCUCCUUCGACGAGUCGAGUAGCUUGGGAAUGCUGCUCUAAAUGGGAGGUAAAUUUCUUCUAAAGCUAAAUAUUGGCCAGAGACCGAUAGCGCACAAGUAGAGUGAUCGAAAGA
rnacentral:rRNA from 1 species